rnacentral:rRNA from 1 species
UACGUAGGGGGCAAGCGUUGUCCGGAAUCAUUGGGCGUAAAGCGCGUGUAGGCGGUCCGGUAAGUCGGCUGUGAAAGUCCAGGGCUCAACCCUGGAACUGCCUUCUAGACUGCAGGCCUCGAGGUCAGGAGAGGCGAGCGGAAUUCCGAGUGUAGAGGUGAAAUUCGUAGAUAUUCGGAGGAACACCAGUGGCGAAGGCGGCUCGCUGGACUGAUACUGACGCUGAGGUGCGAAAGCGUGGGGAGCAAACAGG